UACAGAGGGGGCAAGCGUUGUUCGGAAUUACUGGGCGUAAAGGGCGCGUAGGCGGCCUUCUAAGUCGCACGUGAAAUCCCCGGGCUCAACCCGGGAACUGCGUCCGAUACUGGAAGGCUUGAAUCCGGGAGAGGGAUGCGGAAUUCCAGGUGUAGCGGUGAAAUGCGUAGAUAUCUGGAGGAACACCGGUGGCGAAGGCGGCAUCCUGGACCGGCAUUGACGCUGAGGCGCGAAAGCUAGGGGAGCAAACGGG
rnacentral:rRNA from 1 species